rnacentral:telomerase_RNA from 1 species
UCAAGGCGGUGGGCCCAGGAGAUGAGGCUGCUUAUGCUUAGCUAAACCCUAAACCUUCCCAGCUUAUGAUGGGAUAAUUAUGUAAUGGGGGUGUUUGGCCGGCGUUUCCCCUGAGAUAUAAUGAAAAAACGCUGAUGGUUAUAUAAGAGUCUACAUCUCCAAGUAGUCAUAUGGGCUUGGGUUUGCUCGUAGGUGGUUAGUUCCGUUUCCUCGCUUUCCCUACCACCCCCAAUUUUUU